rnacentral:rRNA from 1 species
UUUUAUGGAGAGUUUGAUCCUGGCUCAGAGUGAACGCUGGCGGCGUGCCUAAUACAUGCAAGUCGAACGAUGAAGCUUUCUAGCUUGCUAGAAUGCUGAUUAGUGGCGCACGGGUGAGUAACGCAUAGGUCAUGUGCCUUUUAGUUUGGGAUAGCCAUUGGAAACGAUGAUUAAUACCAGAUACUCCCUACGGGGGAAAGAUUUAUCGCUAAGAGAUCAGCCUAUGUCCUAUCAGCUUGUUGGUAAGGUAAUGGCUUACCAAGGCUAUGACGGGUAUCCGGCCUGAGAGGGUGAACGGACACACUGGAACUGAGACACGGUCCAGACUCCUACGGGAGGCAGCAGUAGGGAAUAUUGCUCAAUGGGGGAAACCCUGAAGCAGCAACGCCGCGUGGAGGAUGAAGGUUUUAGGAUUGUAAACUCCUUUUGUUAGAGAAGAUAAUGACGGUAUCUAACGAAUAAGCACCGGCUAACUCCGUGCCAGCAGCCGCGGUAAUACGGAGGGUGCAAGCGUUACUCGGAAUCACUGGGCGUAAAGAGCGCGUAGGCGGGAUAGUCAGUCAGGUGUGAAAUCCUAUGGCUUAACCAUAGAACUGCAUUUGAAACUACUAUUCUAGAGUGUGGGAGAGGUAGGUGGAAUUCUUGGUGUAGGGGUAAAAUCCGUAGAGAUCAAGAGGAAUACUCAUUGCGAAGGCGACCUACUGGAACAUUACUGACGCUGAUUGCGCGAAAGCGUGGGGAGCAAACAGGAUUAGAUACCCUGGUAGUCCACGCCCUAAACGAUGGAUGCUAGUUGUUGGAGGGCUUAGUCCCUCCAGUAAUGCAGCUAACGCAUUAAGCAUCCCGCCUGGGGAGUACGGUCGCAAGAUUAAAACUCAAAGGAAUAGACGGGGACCCGCACAAGCGGUGGAGCAUGUGGUUUAAUUCGAAGAUACACGAAGAACCUUACCUAGGCUUGACAUUGAGAGAAUCCGCUAGAAAUAGUGGAGUGUCUGGCUUGCCAGACCUUGAAAACAGGUGCUGCACGGCUGUCGUCAGCUCGUGUCGUGAGAUGUUGGGUUAAGUCCCGCAACGAGCGCAACCCCCUUUCUUAGUUGCUAACAGGUUAUGCUGAGAACUCUAAGGAUACUGCCUCCGUAAGGAGGAGGAAGGUGGGGACGACGUCAAGUCAUCAUGGCCCUUACGCCUAGGGCUACACACGUGCUACAAUGGGGUGCACAAAGAGAAGCAAUACUGCGAAGUGGAGCCAAUCUUCAAAACACCUCUCAGUUCGGAUUGUAGGCUGCAACUCGCCUGCAUGAAGCUGGAAUCGCUAGUAAUCGCAAAUCAGCCAUGUUGCGGUGAAUACGUUCCCGGGUCUUGUACUCACCGCCCGUCACACCAUGGGAGUUGUGUUUGCCUUAAGUCAGGAUGCUAAAUUGGCUACUGCCCACGGCACACACAGCGACUGGGGUGAAGUCGUAACAAGGUAACCGUAGGUGAACCUGCGGUUGGAUCACCUCCUUUCUAGA